AUAAGUACACACUCACUCAGCUCUUCUUCUGAUCCAGGACCUACUCUGGUCCUGGAACCUGCACAGGGAGGACAAUCAAGAGUCCUUGGUAGAGACAUAGAGAUUGAGAGAGAAAGAGAGAGUGAGAUAGAUAUAUAUAGAGAGAGACUGAGAGAGAGAGGAGAUAUACCAAGCACAGUGAAGAAGAGACUACAAGCAAAGCUGUACAGCUUCUGGCCACCAUUCACACUUCUCCCAAAGUCUAGAUGGUCAAGGCUUCCCGGUGAGGAAGGGAUGGGUAUGUGUUCAUCUAAGAGCUUCUCUGGAUUUGCCUUUGUACUCUUACACAUUCAGUUAAAUGAAUGCAUUGAUAUCACUUCCUAACACUGAUAAGAUUGCUGUGAUGUGCAGGUUCCUAUUUUUCUCUUAUAUAUGACAGCAUAUGGGACUGCAGCACAGGAGGUGGAGCCUAGGCUGGAGUUGGACCAAAAAUGACACACUGCUCCUGCCCCCUACUAGAUGGGUUGAUUCUGGUGCCCACAGUGAAAUGAUUCCGCAUGCUGACUGGGUUGAGUCUCCUGUGUGCUGGGCCUGUGACCACACCAGUAGGCCAGGGGCCAGGGUAACAGGGGCUGAAGGGCACCUGUCAGUAGGACCAGUGACUUCCUAGAGAGCAGGCAUUGGUGGACAAGCCAGAGGAGCAGAGAGGAGCUGCCACAGAGACCUGGAGAGAGAAGUGGACACUUGGCUCUGCUAGAGUGAGAAGGGGAUUAUGCAGUGAGACACCAGCAGGUGGGAGAGAGGCCUCCCCACAGCUGUGAGGUCACCAACAUCC